rnacentral:rRNA from 1 species
AUCGAACGCUGGCGGCAGGCCUAACACAUGCAAGUCGAACGAGUGGCGGACGGGUGAGUAAUGUCUGGGCACCUGCCUGAUGGAGGGGUAUAACUACUGGAAACGGUAGCUAAUACCGCAUACCAUCGGAUGUGCCCUGUCGGGAUUAGCUAGUAGGUGGGGUAAAGGCUCACCUAGGCGACGAUCCGUACCUGGACUGAGAGGAUGAUCAGUCACACUGGAACUGAGACACGGUCCAGAAUCCGACGGGAGGCAGCAGUGGGGAAUAUUGGACAAUGGGCGAAAGACUGAUCCAGCAAUGCCGCGUGUGUGAAGAAGGUCUUCGGAUUGUAAAGCACUUUAAGUUGAGAGGCGUUAACAAAAGAAGAAGCACCGGCUAACUUCGUGCCAGCAGCCGCGGUAAUUC